GUUGGUGAACCAGCGGAGGGAUCAUUACUGAGUGCUACAACUCUCCAAACCAUGUGAACAUUACCUCUCGUUGCCUCGGCGGACGCGGCUCCCCCUCCGCGGGGAAACCGUCCGCCAGAGGACCCAAAACUCUGUUGCAUUAUAUGGCAUUAUCUGAGUGGCGUAAGCAAAUCAAAUCAAAACUUUCAACAACGGAUCUCUUGGUUCUGGCAUCGAUGAAGAACGCAGCGAAAUGCGAUACGUAAUGUGAAUUGCAGAAUUCAGUGAAUCAUCGAAUCUUUGAACGCACAUUGCGCCCGCCGGUAUUCCGGCGGGCAUGCCUGUUCGAGCGUCAUUUCAACCCUCAAGCCCCCGGCUUGGUGUUGGGGAUCGGCCCCGCCCCGCGCGGCGGCCGGCCCCGAAAGAUAGUGGCGGUCACGCCGUUCGCGUCCCCUGCGUAGUAGCAACACCUCGCACCGGAACGCGGCAUGGCCACGCCGUAAAAGCUGCCCUCCUCGGGCGGCACUUCUUCUCAAAGGUUGACCUCGGAUCAGGUAGGAAUACCCGCUGAACUUAA
rnacentral:rRNA from 1 species